AGGAAAUAGGAAGCAGAAAGCAAGAAGCAGGAACUAGGAAGCAGAAGGCCUUCAUUCUUUCGAGGAACUCACAGAGUUGAGUAAAAGAGGCUCACAGGGCCACCACCGGUAAUCCCACAAAGUAUACAGGAAGUUUCCAUCUCAAUGGCCAUCUUGUCUACCUUGAGGAGAUGCUGUCAACAAUACAGAAGAUGCCUUCUAAGGCAGAUUGGUUUGCUCACUAUUGCAGUUGGCAAAGAUACCAGAAGACUACACGUAGCAUGCGUCUAAUAUGGCUUUAGGUGCUUCUGUGACUAAGCCUGGGGAUGCUCUCUGUCACUAAUGGAAGGCGAGACUACAUCAGCCCAAAUAUGCACAUGUUCUUUACAGCAUGGGAAGACAGCGGUAGGCCUGAAGAGUCAUAAUCCAGGUUAGAGAUUUGAGGUUGUAUCUAAGAGUGCCCAGGAGAGAGAAAAAGGGUCAUUCUUAGGUAGGGUGACUGUGGCUACCUUUUGCCGUGUUGUCUGGUCUGGAGAUAACCACUAUGAAGUUUUCUCCUGACGUGCUUGGCUGGUUGGGGUUUCAGAGGUAAGAUGCAAAGAAAUGUCUCAUACAUUAACUAUGCUAACAGAGUAACGAGGAGUCCAGCGGGAACGUGCCUGACUGUAGCACCAGCAAUCAAAGGACAACUGUACCCCUUGGAUGCCCAGUCCCAGGGUGCCAUGAGAGCCCAGCACUAAGAUGGUUCAGGGCCUGGCGUGACCUCCCAGGACUGUAGGAAUCUGAGGAGUGGGAUUGAAGACCGGCUUGGGCCUCGCUGCAGCACACCCUGAGGACAUCUGUCCUCGCCUGGCCGGCAGGCAGACCACUGGGUAGCUUGCUGGGUCUGUCGUGGCAGGUUUGAGUCCUGAAGAAUUAUGUGUGAUGCCACAGCCAAAUCUGUGCAGAAGCCUGAGGGACCCGGGCUUUUCUGGCAGCACCCACGUCCCAGCCAGCUCAGGGCACUUCUCGGCAGAGAGUGGUUUUGCAUUACAUAGCUCUUGCACUGAGUAAGCGGGGUCUUCUGCUUACCGGUCCCAGUGGGCGAAGGGAUGGAUUGGGGGGAAAUCAGCAGAUGUGGCUAACACACACUCGUGCGCAGGUCUAUUCUGGUUCAAGCAAGCCAAUGCGUGUGCUGGGGCAUAGAGUUCUCUACCUCUGGUCUUUAUUUAGAUGAGUACAUGCUGUGUGUACAUAUUUUAUACGUCCCUGACAACAACGAAAUUAACAUACAUACCCCUUCAUGUGCAUUCACGGCGAGUGACGUGUGGCUUUGAAACUGGAAUCUGAAUUGCGUAUUGCACUUAAAAUAUUUUCUGCAGGUACAGGUUCGCACCGGGCUACAGUUGGGGGCGGGGGUGGGGAUUCUAUCUCCCAUGUAAGAAGGCAGAGCGGGAGACAGUCAACAUCAGCUGACCUCCAGCCGCACAGGUCAAAUGUUUCUUUGAAAACAGUGCUUUCAUCGAAGUUUCCCUCUCAUCUUUUUUUGUUCACGAAGGCUACAGAAAUAUUUUCCACUUUUACAGCAUUAUUUUUCCUAGGCAGUACUAGUAUUGUUUCAACAACAUUGUGUGACUCGAUUCAUUUGUAAAAUGAACACUGGCUGGCUGCACUGUAGCCAGGCAGCGGGGUGUGCAUUUCGGGAUGAAGAUGGUUGUGUAUAUCGCUAACAGGUGUUUCCAUAAAACACAGCUCCUGCUUGCUAUUUUAUAUAAUAAUUCAUGUCUCUUUAAUUAUUUUUGAGCAGUCACAACUAUGGAGAUUGCUAUGUACCGCUGUGGCUCAGACAGUAAUAUAAUUAUAAUUAAUACAAAUGCUCUCCAACUUAGGUAAGAUCUGCGGCAAUUUUAGAAGCGACAGCAAACAUAAUUAAUCACGGUAAAAUCGGCAGUGGUGAUACGCUAAAGUCUGUCAAACUGUUAUUUAGAUGAAUUAUCCCUCAUGGAGAAUGUUGGAAAUGCAGGUAUUUUUAUUUGCACAAAGGUACUAAAGCAGAUGAGGGUAAAAUAUGGUUAAAAAAAAAAAGGGAGCCCUCCUAUUCGAAUUACUGUGAAUCAGUCAAGAGAGUACCUGUAGUGGGGCUACGUGUAAAACUCCAUUUUCUAGAUGUUCAGCUUGCAGCCUUCUUUGGCUUUUGCUGUUCCCAAAUAUGGCACUGCCAGAGACAUAUGCCUUUUAGGAUAGGGACAGAAGACAUGGACUUGCCCACAGAUGGGAUGAAAGUAAAUGUAUGGGUCUUACCAAAGUCCUUAAAAGCAAAGCCUUUGUAUCAUAGGUCUAGGCAAAGCCUUACAGGUGUGUGGGAGUCAUAGAACAUUGUGACGGACCCCUCAGGGCCAUGCCUGCCCUCAGACACUAUCAUCUCUAGGCCAUGAGUUGAAAGGCUUCACAUUAGCUAUGAGACUGUUUCCUUCACCAAGUACUGAUGCACAGGACUGUCCUUGCAGGAGGCAAAUGAGGUUAGCUACGUCAGUACCCGACGAUGCCUCCUUACAGCACGGCGCUAGGACAUGCGCCAUGGCUGGGAUUUGCCAGAACUCCAAGCUGACUGGCUUGGAGUGCUGACUGGCACAGACAGUGAGCUCAUCCUCCACAAGACACAUUCCCAGUGGCACUACCAGAUAUAAUGAUAUGUUUGCCCCAGUCUCUACUUUCUCUUGUGCUGUGGCUAUGAACGCACCAGCCCAAAUGGGCAGAUAGGUAGAUAAGCUAUAGAUAGGUAGAUGGAUACAUAGACGAUAGAUAGAUAGAUAGAUAGGUGAUAAAUAGAUAAAUGAUAGAUGAUUGAUUGAUGGAUACAUAGAAGACAGAUGAUAGAUGAUAGAUAUAUAGAUGAAAGAUACUAGAUAGAUGAUAGAUGGGUGAUAAAUAAGUCGAUAAUAGAUGAUAGGUAGACAAUAGAUACUAGAUAGAUGAUAAAUAAAUGGUAGAUGAUAGAUACUAGAUAGACGAUAGAUCAAUGAUAGAUAGAUAGAUAGAUGAUAGAUAGAUGGUAGAAAUAAAUCUGUGAGUAGAGGAAAGCCAGGCUAGAGAAACACAAACAGAAAAUCCCACAAAUCUGAUCAUACUAAUUUCCACCUAGUAGAAAAAUUAGCCAGUUCUGCGUAGACAUACACACCUGAGGCCAUUCUUGCACACACACACACACACACACACACACACACACACACACACACCCCCUCGUUUUCUUCAUUGCCUGCUGGCUUUUCCUUAUUUAUUGAAGGUCUUUUGUGACAUGGUGGGAAAUGUGGCUCACCAGCCACUAAUACAGGGCUUCAAGUGACUGCACAAGAGAAGGUAUUUGGAAGACCUACUAGGUAGUUUAAAUAAUGAAACAUGCUUGUUACACACGAGUAAAACUCCAGUGACCAAUGCGUGAUUCAUGCAGUAUUUUAACUAUUCUGUCUAAAAAUGGUGCUUGUAAAAUUUAGACUUGAAUUUUGGUGAAAAAGGCCCUGAACAACUCCCAGUUUUGAGCUUUGUGUCACGUGCAGCACAGGCCUAAAACUUAAAGCGUUGCAUUCAUAGGCAGAGUGCGUUGGCUAAUUUGUCUUACAGAGAGCACAUCCUCUCUUUCAGAGAAAGCAGAUACAGCACUGGUGCAUGCUGUGCAGACAGCCCUGUUAAGAUUAUUGUGUAGUAAAUAAUCAUGUAAAAUCUGACAUGACUUAUGGGUCUUUAGUCUAAAGUUGUAUCAAGGCCAUAUGUUACCAGAGGCAAUCUCUUCAAAUGCAUAAUUUAUAGCAUCAGCCCUGUGACUACCUGAGAGACCUGGGUAGAGAAAUGAGCACAUCUAGCAGGGAAAACAAAAGACCCUUGGAGGAUUAGUUAGCAUUUAGCUGAGGUCACAGGGGCAACUGGAUUACUACGUUUUAAGCUGUUCCUCACAGAGAGCUUGCUGGAAGACACGAAGAUCCAAUCUAGUCCAAGAAUUUGAAACAAAUCUCUGAAAUCUUCAUUUUGAAUAUCUAGGCGUGAUGUCCAUGCCUAUGGUUUGUUCCUACUACCUAUUAUUACUUAGGCUUUUCCUUGGUGCAUGUUAGAACAAUAGAAAAGCUCACUGUUAUCCCCAAAUCGGUAUCUACAUAAACAACUGAGGUAAGGAUCAGGCAAAGAUCACCCAGAAAAAAAAAUGAGUGAUGAGGGACAAAGGAAAAGAGAAAAACCAAAACAAAACCAGUAUGAGAUGUGAGUAAGAAUGAGACAUAAAGAUGUGGAGGCAAAUAAAGUUAGGCAUGGUAGCUCAUGCCUACAGUCCCAGCAUUCAAAUGGUGGUAGUAAGAUCUUAAGUUCAAGCCUAGCUGGGGCCAUAGAGUCAACCCCCAUUUCUCAAAAGCAAACAAGCAAACAGAAGCAUUAAAACAAGGUAGGGAGCUUCCAUUUUCUGUCUGCGCCCAGUGACGACUCUGUUCCAGAGCUCUCUGUACCCAGAUCCCACUAGGAGAGAGCUGGUCUCCCAGGAGUGCUGUAAGGAGGCUUACAGGAGUAUCAAGCCACUGUCAGAGUCAGCAAGACCAGCAAACACUAGAGAUAACCAGAUGGCAAGCGGCAAACUCAAGAACCUAAGCCACAGAAACCAAGGCCACUUGGCAUCAUCAGAACCCAGUUCUCCACAACAAGUAAUGGAUACUCUAACACACUAGAAAAGCAAGAUUUUGAUUUAAAAAUCACAUCUCAUAAUAAUGUUGGAGCAUUUUUAGAAGGACAUAAAUAACUCCCUUAAGGAAAUACAGGAUAACACAGGUAAACAGGUAGAAGCCUAUAAAGAAGAAACACAAAAAAGAAUUACAGGAAAACACAACCAAAACAGGUAAAGAAACUGAAUAAAACCAUUUAGGAUCUAAAGAUGGAAAUAGAAACAAUAAAGAAAUCACAAAUGGAGACAACCAUGGAAAUAGAAAACCUAGGAAAGAGAUCAGGAGACAGAGGUAAACAUCACCAACAGAAUACAGGAGAUAGAAGAGAGAAUCUCGAGUAGAAGAUACUAUAGGAAACAUUGACAUAACAGCCAAAGAAAAUGCAAAACACAAAAAGAUCCUAAGCUAAAACAUCCAGGAAAACCAGGACACAAUGAGAAGAUCAAGCCUAAGGAUAAAAGGUAUAGAAGAAAGCAAAGAUUCCUAACUUAAAGGGCCAGUAAAUAUCUUCAACAAAAUUAUAGAAGAAAACUUCCCUAACCUAAAGAAAGAAAUGCCCAUAAACACACAAGAAGCCUACAGAAUUCUAAAUAGAUUGGACCAGAAAAGAAAUUCCACCCAUCACAUAAUAGUCAAAACACCAAAUAUACAAAACAAAGAAAGAAAAUUAAAAGCAGUAAGGGAAAAAGGUCAAGUAACAUAUAAAGGCAGACCUAUCAAAAUUAGACCAGAUUUCUCAACAGAAACUAUGAAAGCUAGAAGAUCCUGGGCAGAUGUCAUAGAUCCUAAGAGAACAGAAAUGCCAGCCCAAUUACUGUAUCCCACAAAACUCUCAAUUACCAUAGAUGGAGAAACCAAGAUAUUCCAUGACAUAACCAAGUUUACACAAUAUAUUUCCACAAAUCCAGCCCUACAAAGGAUAAUAGUUGGAAAACUCAAACACAAGGAGGGAAACUACACCCUAGAAAAAACAAGAAAGUAAUCUUCUUUCAACUAACCCCAAAGAAGAUAGCCACACAAACAUAAUUCCACCUCUAGCAACAAAAGUAGCAGGAAAAAACAAUCACUAUUUCUUAAUAUCUCUUAACAUCAAUAGACUAAAUUCCCCAAUAAAAAGACAUAGAUUAACAGACUGGAUAUGUAAACAGGACCCAGCAUUUUGCUGCAUACAGGUAACACCUCAGUGACAAAGACAGACACUUGCUCAGAGUAAAAGGCUGGGAAAAAAUUUUCCAAGCAAAUGGUCCCAAGAAACAAGCUGGAGUAGCCAUUCUAAUAUCAAAUAAAAUUGCCUUUCAACCAAAAGUUAUCAAAAAAGUUAAGGAAGAAUAUUUCAUAUUCAUCAAAGGAAAAAUCCACCAAGAUAAACUCUCAAUUCUGAAUAUCUAUGCUCCAAAUUAAAAGACACCAAGGUCCAUAAAAGAAACCUUACUAAAGCUCAAAGCACAUUGCACCUCUCACAAUAAGAGUGGGAGACUUCAACACCCCACUCUCAUCAAUGGACAGAUCAUAGAAACAGAAACUAAACAGAGACACAGUGAAACUAAAAGAAGUUAUGAGUCAAAUGGAUUUACAGAUAUCUACAGAACAUUUCAUCAUAAAACAAAAGAAUAUACCUUCUUCUCAGCACCUCAUGUUACCUUCUCCAAAAUUGAGCAUAUAAUCAGUCACAAAAUAGGCCUCAACAGAUACAAGAAGAUUAAAAUAAUCCCAUGCAUGCUAUCAGAUUACCAUGGACUAAGGCUGGUCUUGAAUAACAACAAAAACAACAGAAAACCCACAUACACAUGGAAGCUGAACAAUGCUCUACUCAAUGAUAAUUGGUCAAGGAAGAAAUAAGGAAAGAAAUUAAAGACUUUUUAGAAUUUAAUGAAAAUGAAGGCACAACAUACUCAAAUUAUUGGACACAAUGAAAGCUGUGCUAAGAGGAAAACUCAUAGCUCUGAGUGCCUCCAAAAAGAACUGAAGAGAGCACACACUAGCAGCUUGAGAGCUCACCUGAAAGCUCUAGAAUAAAAAGAAGCAAAUAUACACAAGAGAGUAGAUGGCAGGAAACAAUGAAAUUCCUGAAAUCAACCAAGUAGAAACAAAAAGAACCAUGCAAGGAAUCAACAAAACCAGGAGUUGGUUCUUUGAGAAAAUCAACAAGAUCGACUACCUUUAGUCAGACUAACCAGAGGGCACAGAGACAGUAUCCAAAUUAACAAAAUCAGAAAUGAAAAGGGAGACAUAACAACAGAAUCUGAGGAAAUUAAAAAAAAAACCAUCAGAUCCUACUACAAAAGCCUAUAUUCAACAAAAUUGGAAAAUCUGGAGGAAAUGGACACUUUUCUAGACAGAUAUCAGGUACCAAAGUUAAAUCAGGAUCAGAUAAACUAUCCAAACAGUCCCAUAACCCCUAAAGAAAUAGAAGCAGUUAUUAAAAGUCUCCCAACCAAAAAGGGCCCAGGACCAGAUGGUUUUAGUGCAGAAUUCUAUCAGACCUUCAUAGAAGACCUAAUACCAUUACUGUCCAAACUAUUCCACAAAACAGAAACAGAAGGAACACUACCCAAUUUGUUUGAUGAAGCCACAAUUAUGUGUAUACCUAAACCACACAAAGACCCAACCAAGAAAAAGAACUUCAAACCAAUUUUUCUUAUUAAUAUCAAUGCCAAAAUACUCAAUAAAAUUUUCACAAACCAAACCCAAGAUCACAUUAAAAUGAUCAUCCAUCAUGACCAAGUAGGCUUCAUCCCAGGGAUGCAGGGAUGGUUCAAUAUACGGAAAUCUGUCAAUGUAAUCCACUAUAUAAACAAAAUCAAAGAAAAAAAAAACACAUGAUCCUCUCAUUAAAUGCUGAGAAUACAUUUUAUAAAAUUCAAUACCCCUUCAUGAUAAAAGAUCAUGAAUUCAAGGGAAGAUCAGGAAUUCAAGGUCCAUACAUAAACAUAAUAAAAGCCAUAUGCAGCAAACCAGUAGCUAACAUCAAACUAAAUGGAGAGAAACUUGAAGCAAUCCCACUAAAAUCAGAGACUAGACAAAGCAGCCCACUUUCUUCCUACCUAUUCAAUAUAUUACUUGAAGUCCUAGCCAGAGCAAUCACACAACAAAAAGAGGUCAAGGGGAUACAAAUUGGAAAGGAAGAAGUCAAAAUAACACUAUUUGCAGAUGAUAUGAUAGUAUACUUAAGUGACCCCAAAAAUUCCACAAGAGACUUCCUAAACAUGAUAAUCAACUACAGCAAAGUGGCUGGAUAUAAAAUUAACUUGAACAAAUCAGUAGCCUUAUUCUACUCGAAGGAUAAACAGGCUGAGAAAAAAAUUAAAGAAAAUGCUACCCUUCACAAUAGAUUCUAACCGAGCAAGUGAAAGAUCCAUGUGACAGGAACUUCAAGUUUCCGAAGACAGAAACUGAAGCUCUCAGAAGAUGGAAAGAUCUCCCAUGCUCAUGGAUUGGCAGGAUUAAUAUAGUAAAAAUGGUCAUCUUGCCAAAAGCAAUCUACAGAUUCAAUGCAAUCCCCAUCAAAAUUCCAACUCAAUACUUCACAGGGUUAGAAAGAGCAAUUUGCAAAUUCAUUUGGAAUAACAAAAGACCCAGGAUAGGAAAAACUAUUCUCAACAAUAAAACAACAACAACAACAACAAAAAAAAAACCACCACUACCAACAACAACAACAACAAAAA